UACGUAGGGGGCAAGCGUUGUCCGGAUUUAUUGGGCGUAAAGAGCGUGUAGGCGGUCAGGUAGGUCCGUUGUGAAAACUCGAGGCUCAACCUCGAGACGCCGAUGGAAACCAUCUGACUAGAGUCCGGAAGAGGAGAGUGGAAUUCCUGGUGUAGCGGUGAAAUGCGUAGAUAUCAGGAGGAACACCUGUGGCGAAGGCGAGUCCCUGGACGAUACCUGACACUGAGGCACGAAAGCCAAGGGAGCAAACAGG
rnacentral:rRNA from 1 species